rnacentral:rRNA from 1 species
UAGGGAAUAUUGGACAAUGGGUGAGAGCCUGAUCCAGCCAUGCCGCGUGCAGGAAGAAGGCGUUAUGCGUUGUAAACUGCUUUUUGCCAGGGGAUAAAAAGACCGUGCGCGGUUAAUUGAAGGUACCUGGUGAAUAAGCGACGGCUAACUACGUGCCAGCAGCCGCGGUAAUACGUAGGUGGCAAGCGUUGCCCGGAUUUAUUGGGUUUAAAGGGUGCGUAGGUGGCCCUGUAAGUCAGUGGUGAAAUAUCUCAGCUUAACUGAGAGGGUGCCAUUGAUACUGCAGGGCUUGAGUACAGAUGAGGUAGGCGGAAUUGACGGUGUAGUGGUGAAAUGCAUAGAUAUCGUCAAGAACACCGAUAGCGAAGGCAGCUUACCAAGCUGUAACUGACACUGAGGCACGAAAGUGUGGGGAUCAAACAGGAUUAGAUACCCCCGUAGUCCCUGAGCGGGCUGGCAAGGCGCAU